AUUGAACGCUGGCGGCAGGCCUAACACAUGCAAGUCGAACGAGUGGCGGACGGGUUAGUAAUGUCUGGGAAACUGCCUGAUGGAGGGGGAUAACUACUGGACACGGUAGCUAAUACCGCAUACCAUCGGAUGUGCCCAGAUGGGAUUUGCUAUUAGGUGGGGUAAAGGCUCACCUAGUCGACGAUCCCUAGCUGGUCUGCGAGGAUGACCAGCCACACUGUAACUGAGACACGGGCCAGACUCCUACGGGAGGCAGCAGUGGGGAAUAUUGCACAAUGGGCGCAAGCCUGAUGCAGACAUGCCGCGUGUAUGAAGAAGGCCUUCGGGUUGUAAAGUACUUUCAGCGGGGAGGCGUUACCCGCAGAAGAAGCACCGGCUAACUCCGUGCCAGCAGCCGCGGUAAUUC
rnacentral:rRNA from 1 species